CGGGACGGGUGAGUAAUGUCUGGGAAACUGCCUGAUGGAGGGGGGUAACUACUGGAAACGGUAGCUAAUACCGCAUAACGUCGCAGACCAAAGAGGGGGACCUUCGGGCCUCUUGCCAUCGGAUGUGCCCAGAUGGGAUUAGCUAGUAGGUGGGGUAACGGCUCACCUAGGCGACGAUCCCUAGCUGGUCUGAGAGGAUGACCAGCCACACUGGAACUGAGACACGGUCCAG
rnacentral:rRNA from 1 species